CCUACGGGUGGCAGCAGUGGGGGAUAUUGCACAAUGGGGGAAACCCUGAUGCAGCGACGCCGCGUGGGCGAAGAAGUAUUUCGGUAUGUAAAGCCCUAUCAGCAGGGAAGAAGAAAUGACGGGACCUGAGUAAGAAGCACAGGCUAAAGACGUGCCAGCAGCCGCGGUAAUACGUCGGGUGCAAGCGGUAUCCGGAUUUACGGGGUGGAAAGGGAGCGCAGGCGGCCCGGCAAGCCUGAUGUGAAAGCCCGCGGCCCAACCGCGGGACUGCCUUGGGAACUACCGGGCUGGAGUGCCGGAGAGGUAGGCGGCAUUCCUUGUGUAGCGGUGACCUGCGUAGAUAUUCGGAGGCACACCAGUGGCGAAGGCGGCCUACUGGACGGUGCCUGACGCUGAGGCUCG
rnacentral:rRNA from 1 species